CCUACGGGCGGCAGCAGUGAGGAAUAUUGGUCAAUGGACGAGAGUCUGAACCAGCCAAGUAGCGUGAAGGAUGACUGCCCUAUGGGUUGUAAACUUCUUUUAUAAAGGAAUAAAACGAGGCACGUGUGCCUGUUUGCAUGUACUUUAUGAAUAAGGAUCGGCUAACUCCGUGCCAGCAGCCGUGGUAAUACGGAGGAUCCGAGCGUUAUCCGGAUUUAUUGGGUUUAAAGGGAGCGUAGAUGGGUUGUUAAGUCAGUUGUGAAAGUUUGCGGCUCAACCGUAAAAUUGCAAUUGAUACUGGCAGUCUCGAGUACAGUUGAGGUAGGCGGAAUUCGUGGUGUAGCGGUGAAAUGCUUAGAUAUCACGAAGAACCCCGAUUGCGAAGGCAGCUUACUAAACUGUGACUGACAUUGAUGCUCGAAAGUGUGGGUAUCAAACAGGAUUAGAUACCCUGGUAGUC
rnacentral:rRNA from 1 species